AGGGGGAGGUCGGAUCCUGGGCUGUGUCCCCAGCGCCCUGUGCCCUCGGGCCUGGUCUGUUGGAUUUGCACUCCGGGCCAGGCAGCCCCCU
rnacentral:pre_miRNA from 1 species